GAAUCUUGGACAAUGGGGGAAACCCUGAUCCAGCCAUGCCGCGUGAGUGAUGAAGGCCUUCGGGUUGUAAAGCUCUUUCGCAAGGGAAGAUAAUGACGGUACCUUGAUAAGAAGCCCCGGCUAACCUCGUGCCAGCAGCCGCGGUAAUACGAGGGGGGCGAGCGUUGUUCGGAAUCACUGGGCGUAAAGCGCGCGUAGGCGGCCACGCAAGUCAGGGGUGAAAUCCCGGGGCUCAACCCUGGAAUUGCCUUUGAAACUGCAUGGCUAGAGUUCGGUAGAGGGUGGUAGAAUUCCUAGUGUAGAGGUGAAAUUCGUAGAUAUUAGGAGGAAUACCGGUGGCGAAGGCGGCCACCUGGGCCGAUACUGACGCUGAAGCGCGAAAGCGUGGGGAGCAAACAGG
rnacentral:rRNA from 1 species